rnacentral:lncRNA from 1 species
AUGGCGGAGAACGUACGGUCGCCUUUUGAGUACCGGGAGCCACCGACCCUCGACAGCGACGGGGAUGGGAGCAAACCGCCUUUGCCGCCCCGGGGGAGGGGGUGUGUCAGGAAAAGGAAGGGUACCCCUGUGAAGGUGUGUGACCGGGCCUACGUGACAGAGGAUGAAGAGGAGGAGGAAGAGGAGAGUCUGUCUGAACACAGCUACAGUCCAGGUGAUGGACAGUACCCGGACGGAGCGGAGGACAGACUGCCUCCGACCGGAAGCCCUUACUACCUCGCCGACCCCUCCCAGCUCUGUGUGUCGGAGCUGGGCGAGGAGGGGGCGAGUGGGGUCCGGGGGCCAGUGCUCUUCCACCCCCCGCCCAACUGUAGGAUCCGAGAGGUGCACUGCGGGAGUCAGGUGCGGCUGGUCGUCAUAGCGAUUCGAGACAUCGCCAAAGGGGAGGAGAUCACAGUGGACUACAGCCUGAUGGACUGGGGAGAGAACGCCAUGGAUGAAGAGCCUGGCCCCCACCCGCUGUCUCUCUCCGACUACCUCACCCCCUCCUGGUCCCUCUCCCCCUCCUCCUCCCCGCUAACCCACACUGAGCCCAGCGAUUCGGACCGAGAGGAGGAGGAGGAAGACGACGAUGACGACGAAGAAGAAGAGAUGGAGGAGUUGAGGGGCCGCAUGCUCCGCCGCCGAAAGAAGCGCAAAAUAGCCACCCCCCCCGUCACCGCCAAGAAGAAGAGUGUCGCCACCCCCAGGGCCGGACCCGGGCGCCCCUGCUCAUCCUCCUUCUCCCGGCUGGCUGCCUCCUCGACCCCGACCGUGGCCCAGACCCCGUCUCAGCCCGCCACCCCACUGGCGCCCCCCACCACCAACAUCAACAACAACAUCAACAUAAACAUCGGCAGCUCCAGCGGGGCCACUGUCAGCCGACGGCAGCACUGCCCCUAUUGCGGCCGCCACUACCGCUCUCUGGCACGCCACCUGGAGAAACACCAUGCCAACCAGCCAGAGGUCAGGGCUGCCAUGGAGCUGUCCGCACUCCACACACACCCUUCCUCCUCUACCUCCUCCUCGCACGGCCACAUCUUCGCCUCCCCUCAGCCUUCCUCUUCCUCUACUCCCGCCCCUCCCCCUCUUUUCUCCAGGGAGAGAGAGAGGGAUGCGGUGGCCGCUCGAAGUUCCUCGGGGGCGGUCUCCUUUUCACUCUCGCUCUCCCCGCCCUCGGCUUCUCAGUCGGCCGCGGCCAAAAAAGCCUCCAACGUAUCGGUUCAGACGCCCAAGCCAGGCUCCGCCCCUGCGGUGGCCCCGGUGAAAAGUCCUCCAACAUCCACGCCACCCAGGAGGGGCCGCAAGCCGAAGAGAGAGAAGGAGGAGCAGCAGAAAGCGGAGGAGUCCAUCAGGAGCAAAGAGGAAGAGAUACCUCCACCUCCUACCCCCAAGCCGGAGGAAGAAGAGCUGGAUGAGGAGCUGAGUGGAGCGGGGACCGUAGAGAGUCCUGGGGACUGGAGUACACAGCUGGCUAGCUCCCACAGACAACACAUGCCCCCUCUCCUCUCUUCCCUCUCCUGCCUGGUGCUCUACCUGAGCCGGCAGCAGCACUCUUCCUUCUUGUCUCUCACUCGCUCCCCCAGUUCGGCUGAGGCCUGGCGCCUCCUCUGCCAUUCCAGCCUGGCGCUGCUCAUCCUCUACAACCGCCACCGAGAGUGUGAAGUGGCCAAGCUCACCACCCAGGACUACCACAACCGCACCACCCCCCAAAGCCCCACCCUGACCCAGGCUAACUCGGCCAACACCCCCCCGACAGGCAUGGAGGCCAUCCUCUCCCCCUUCGAGCAUCAGGUCCUCUGCCACCUCCCCCGGGCAGGUGUGCUGGGCAAGCGGGGGCGCAUCCAGCCCCUCAUCCUGCCCCCGCACUGCGAGUCCUGCCUGGAGCUGCUCCUUCAGACCUCCUCCAACGUGGGCGUCGACCCCCACAGCCCCUACGUCUUCUCCCGGCCCUUCCACUCGCCCGCCACGCCGCUCCGGGGCACCGACCUACUGCGCAACCUGGCGCGGGCCAGCGGCGCCAAGAACCCCCGGGCGUUGACCCAGACACGGGCGCGCCAGCAGGUAGCCAUUCUCACCCAGCUACUGCUCCUGGAGGAAGGCGAGGGGCAGGGCCAGCCGGGCGGGGCUGCCGCCAAGCGCCUGGAAGACUUCCUGCAGAGGGAGUACCACGUGACCCAGAGCUGCGCCACGAUAGGCCGAGACCCGGCGCUGAUGGGCCGUGUGGGCAGGGUGGUGAUCUAUGGGGAAAAGGAGGGGGUCCUCUUCAGAGGGAUGAGUCUGCAGCACAUCUGUCUAGAGCUGGAUGUGAUGUCAGGAAACUCUGCGGACUCCUUCUCAGACGACUCAGACGUGGAGGCGGAGAAGGUUAAGGAGAAGGUUAAGGAGAAGGUUAAAGAGAAGGUUAAGGAGAAGGUGGAGGAGAAGGUGGGGGAGGUGAAGAAGCAACCAGGUCAACCCCCCAGCAAGAAUAAAGCCCCUGCUCCCUCCUCGGUCAACCCCUCGCUCCCUGGUGCCCACAAGAGGAGGGUCAUUCAGCCCAAGUCCGGGAAGCGUGGGGUGCUGAAGCGGCCCUGGUCGGAGGCGGAGCGCAUCGCCGUGGAGACGCACCUGAAGAGGAACAUCAUGGAGCAGCGCGUGCCAGCCAAGGCGGACUGCGAGCGCUGCCUGCAGCUCUGUCCCCUGCUGGUCAGCAACCAGCGAGACUGGAGAGCCAUCAAGUUCUACUGCCACAACCGCAUCCAGCUACUGAAGAAGCAAGGCAGGAGGGAGAGGGCAGGGAACUCUGUUAGAUAGAGAUGGGAGAGAGCGAGAGAACUGACUUCAACCAUCUGGAGUGACCCUAUUCUAGUCCUGGAGAAGUGCAGUCUGCUUGUUUUUCGUCCGAAUUUACCUGACCUCUGACCUGACCUUAAGAGGUCGUUCCUGGGACUAGGUGUGCACCAUCAGUCCUAGCCCUGUAGCCCAGUAAUGCAGUGUUGUCUUCAUCAAGAGUCAAGGAGAGAAUUAACUGGGAUUAGUUGAAAUGUCUCCUCUGACCAGGGGACAUAUCCACAUAGUGUCUCAAAAGGGGUCUAGGAAUCCUGUUAAAACUGAGUUUUUAAGACCAAAAAAAAGCCUCCCAGCUCACAGUAGGUUUUAUGAUGUUAAGACACUGAACAGACAAACUCUGAACCAGGAGUAAAAUCAACUCCUAAAAAGGGUUCAUCUCAGCUGGUCGUCACGACAGUUUGAGGUACCGCAAAGGAAAGAUGGUGAUGAGUCUCAUCGUUGUAAAUUAUUGGAAAUAACCAAUCACGAAGAGGCAUGGCCAGCUGUGACCUGUAUAGCACAUUUUCAGACACCCAGAUGAAUGUGACUUUACAUCAAAUGUUGCAAUGGUAAAACACUUGGUAUAAUUUCUCUGACACGAUCACUUUGCCUAACUCCUAAUUAUUGCCUAAUAUGUUGGCAUGCAUAACCUUCUUCUUUAUUUUUAUUUUUUUUACCAAUUCUGAUGUUUUUUUUAAAAAGCGUGAGUUUUAGAAUAUGGUCGCUAAAACUCUGAACUCCUGGAUGAUUACUCUAAAUGUAUUUUGUACAGUACUGUAGGCAUCACGUCUCUUACUGAUAAUGUUGCAUUAAAACCUGUCAUUUUCAACACCCAAUCAAAGUUAACAUAGGCCCUAAAUACCUUCAGUGGCCCAAUAUUACUUAGGCAUGUUAUUUAACAGUGUUGCAGGCAUUCAAAUGAUCAAGACACCUGCCGGUAACUCUUAACUGGUGAGGUCAGAUCAUGAGGUCUCUUAAAUAUCUGUCAACUAGUUUAGGUUUAAUGCCUAGCUUUUAUUUUUUAUUUUUUUUUACCCCGUAAGAGUAGGAGUAAAAUGUCUCUAUUCUCAGCACUUACGACACAUUUUCUACUCCUGAGACGCUUUGUGGAUACGGGCCCUGGAUUACGAAACAACAGUCCUAGAAGUUCCUGGAGAAUCCCGAGUUUUAAAACCCUUGUUGUUAUUUCAAUCUGUUGGGACAGUAUACAGGGAAAUGACUGAGAAAGUGAGGGAGUUCAGAGGAGUGGACCUCCACCUCCACUGAAAGCUGAAGACCAAAUGUGAAUAUUACGUUGUCUUUACAGAGAUGGAGGAAGAAACACAU